ensembl:snoRNA SNORD115 Small nucleolar RNA SNORD115
GGAUUGAAGAUGAGAACUCAUAUUAUCUUCUAGAGAAAUGAUGACCUAAAAAAUCAUGCUCAAUAAUUUUACACUGAGGCCC